rfam:Corynebacterium pseudotuberculosis C231, complete genome.
GUGCGGAGUGUACGUAUGAACUCUGCUCGAAGCGAAACUCUGGUGUACUUCCCCGAUAUCAGAGUGGGUUCUUCGUGCAGGGCUCUGUGUACACCCCGCUUUUAA